AAUGCUGUCUGGCAUUCAGACAUUAAACUCAAUGUGGAGGUUGUGUCAUUUAAACUAGACACUGGGGCAGCAGUGACAGCUAUCCCAACUAGGCUGUAUAGCUAUAGCUGGCCCUUUGCUCUACAAACAAAUAACUGUACGGGCCCAGUAAUAAGAUUUUACCAGUGGUAGGGCACUUGGUGAUUAAACUGGAGAGUAAAGACAAAAGUGCCAUCCAGCCUGUCUUCGUCAUUGACUCUCUAGCCAGACCGUUGCUGGGGCAGCCAGCAAUUGAAGCAUUGCAACUCAUUGAGAGUGUGAGCGAAUUAGAGGACCCAGGUGAGGUUUUUAAAAAGAAAUUCUGGUCUAGGAAGGAUAGGUGACUACAAAAUCCGCCUGAAAGAGGAUUCUGUCCCCUAUGCCCUUACCACCCCCCGCCGGGUGCCUAUCCCUUUAUUGGCCAGAGUAAAGGAAGAGUUGGGGAGGAUGGAAGACAUUGGGGCGGUGUCUAAAAUAGAGAGUCCCACAGACUGGUGUGCAGGGAUGGUAGUGGUCCCAAAAGCCAAUGGGGAAAUAAGGAUCUGUGUGGACAUGACUAAAUUGAAUGAGGCACUCUGCAGAGAGAGACACAUCUUGCCAUCAGUGGAGCAGUCACUGGCUCAGUUGGAUGGCUCACAAGUCUUCACAAAGCUGGAUGCCCGCUCAGGCUUCUGGCAGAUACUGCUGUCAUCAGAGAGUAGGACACUCACGACAUUUAUAACACCGUUUGGCCGUUACUGUUUUAAUGUUUUGCCAUUUGGAAUCGCUUCCGGCCCUGAGCAUUUCCAAAGACUCAUGUCCCAGCUGUUGGAUGGGCUGAGUGGCUUCAUAGUCCACGCGGAAGGGACAGAGCAGAACAUGAUGUAAGGCUCACAGCAGUUCUGAACCAACUCCAGGAGACUGGCCUGACACUCAAUGAAAAAUGAACUUUUGCACAAUCAGAGGUCUUGUUCUUGGGACACAAAAUCAGUGCAGCUGGAAUAGAGCCGGACCCAGAGAAGAUCAGUGCCAUCACAGAUAUGCCCAGACCCCAGAAUUCUGGCUGAAGUCGGGACCUUCUUAGGCAUGGCCACAUAUGUGGGUAAGUUCCUCCCACAGUUCUCAGAUACAACCAAACCUCUGAGAGACUUACUAGCCAAAGAGAAUGACUGGUUAUGGGGUCACAUGCAACAGGUAGCGUUUGACAAAAUCAAAGGAGAUCUGGCCUCACAGAGAGUGCUGGCCCAGUACCGUCCCCACACUAAGACAAAAGUAUCAGCAGGUGCAUCAUCCUUUGGGCUAGGGGCGGUCCUCACACAGAUGCAUCAUCCUUUGGGCUAGGGGCGGUCCUCACACAGAUGCAUCAUCCUUUGGGCUAGGGGCGGUCCUCACACAGAUGCAGGACAACAUGGAGUGGCGUCCAAUAGCUUACAUCUCCCGAAGCUUAUCCGACACAGAGCAAAGAUAUGCUCAAGUGGAGAAGGAGGCGUUGGCUAUCACAUGGGCAUGUGAAAGGCUCAGCCAACACCUUAUUGGCCUGCAGUUUACAGCAGAGACUGACCAUAAACCGCUGUUGGCUCUGUUAGGGACAAAAGCACUGGACGACUUGCCUCCCAGAGUUCUGCGCUUCCGCCUCAGAUUACUGAGAUUACAAAAUUGUGUAUGUGCCAGGGAAGGCACUGAUCACAGCAGAUGAACUCUCCAGGGCCCCAAUUAAACGUCCAUUAUCAGAGGAGGAGCAAUGGCUAGAGGGUGAGGUACAGGUGUCCAUUAAUGCAAUAAGGGACAGUCUACCUGCAUCUCAGACCAAACUGCAGCAGAUUGCAGAGGAGCAACAACGAGACCAUAUCUGCCAACAGAAAAAAAGGGAUGGCCCAGGCAGGAGGAACUGCCUCAACUGCUGAAGCCCUAUUGGGUGCACCAAAGUGACUUCCACUGUAAUGGAGACCUUCUCAUGAAAGGACAACGGAUAGUUAUCCCAGAGACUCUACAACAAGAAAUGCUAGACAGAGUGCAUGAUGGACACAUGGGGAUAACCAAAUGCAGACUGAGGGCUCAACAGUCAGUGUGGUGGCUUGGUCUGAGUACUCAGAUUGCCAAGCUAGUGGCCCAGUGUGAGGUCUGUACAAAAUGUCAACCUUGUCAUCCGGAGCCAAUGAUGGCAACGGAGCUGCCAAAACGGCCAUUGCAAAAGGCAAGGGGUCGCUGAGGUCCUGGUUACAGAUAACGCUCCCCAGUUCUCUGCGAGCUCCUUUUCUGCUUUUGCCGCAGAAUAUGACUUCAUACAUGUGACCAGUAGCCCCUACCAUGCACAGAGUAAUGGUGAGGUAGAGACAGCUGUGAAAACAGUCAAGGGACUGCUGAAAAAGAACAAGGAGCCAUACAGGGCUCCCCCCUAUUAUUCAACCAUGCUGGUCAUUUAUGAACAUUUGAACAUCUUGGCCACGUUCUGUUAUAAUCUCCACCCGGCACAGCCAGAAGAGGACUGGCCACCCCACAUAUGCUCUCUCUAAUUCUCUCUUUCUUUCUCUCUCUCUCGGAGGACCUGAGCCCUAGGACCGUGCCCCAGGACUACCUGACAUGAUGACUCCUUGCUGUCCCCAGUCCACCUGACUGUGCUGCUGCUCCAGUUUCAACUGUUCUGCCUUAUUAUUAUUCGACCAUGCUGGUCAUUUAUGAACAUUUGAACAUCUUGGUCAUGUUCUGUUAUAAUCUCUACCCGGCACAGCCAGAAGAGGACUGGCCACCCCACAUAGCCUGGUUCCUCUCUAGGUUUCUUCCUAGGUUUUGGCCUUUCUAGGGAGUUUUUCCUAGCCACCGUGCUUUUACACCUGCAUUGUUUGCUGUUUGGGGUUUUAGGCUGGGUUUCUGUACAGCACUUUGAGAUAUCAGCUGAUGUACGAAGGGCUAUAUAAAUACAUUUGAUUUGAUUUGAUUUGUUAGCUUACAGAGUUACACCACUGCAUAAUGGGCCGUUGCCUGCCGAGCUCCUGAUGGGCAGGAGGCUGCGUUCCCCAUUGCUUGUCUCGCCGGCUCAGCUUAAACACCGAGGGCCUAACAGGAAGGCCUUCGCUGAGAGGGACAAACGGCUGAAACAAACGCAAACUGGAGACUUUAAUCGGAGACACCGUGCUAAGGAGAGGCCAGAGUUGACCGAAGGUCAAUAGUCAGGUUUAUAAACGUUGGGUAGUUAGUCAGAUAGCAUAUCAUUAAUAUACUGGCAAUUUCGAUGUAAUAGUAGUCAACUAACGUUAGGUAGCUAGCUAACAUACCGGUACAUACAAGCAACUGCUAUGUGGUUUGUAAGGCUAGCGUAGCUAACAAAUUGUCAGCCAACAACCUGUAACUUAUUUGAAAGUCAUUCCUUUUUUACAUUGCACAACAUUUUCUUAACAUUUGUCAUAAUUAAUUAAAGCAAUUAAUUUUUA